ACCAGCGGAGGGAUCAUUACCGAGUUUACAACUCCCCAAACCCAAUGGUGAACGUUACCAAACUGUUGCCUCGGCGGGGUCACGCCCCGGGUGCGUCGCAGCCCCGGAACCAGGCGCCCGCCGGAGGAACCAACCAAACUCUUUCUGUAGUCCCCUCGCGGACGUUAUUUCUUACAGCUCUGAGCAAAAAUUCAAAAUGAAUCAAAACUUUCAACAACGGAUCUCUUGGUUCUGGCAUCGAUGAAGAACGCAGCGAAAUGCGAUAAGUAAUGUGAAUUGCAGAAUUCAGUGAAUCAUCGAAUCUUUGAACGCACAUUGCGCCCGCCAGUAUUCUGGCGGGCAUGCCUGUCCGAGCGUCAUUUCAACCCUCGAACCCCUCCGGGGGAUCGGCGUUGGGGAUCGGGACCCCUCACACGGGCGCCGGCCCCUAAAUACAGUGGCGGUCUCGCCGCAGCCUCUCCUGCGCAGUAGUUUGCACAACUCGCACCGGGAGCGCGGCGCGUCCACGUCCGUAAAACACCCAACUUUCUGAAAUGUUGACCUCGGAUCAGGUAGGAAUACCCGCUGAACUU
rnacentral:rRNA from 1 species